GGACCAAGGAGUCCAGCAUGUGCGCGAGUCAUUGGGAUUCGUUGCUAAACCUAAAGGCGAAAUGAAAGUGAAGGCGCGCCUCGCGCGCGCCAAGGGAGGAUGGGCGCGAUUCCGUCGACAGCCCCGCACUCCCGGGGCGUCUCGUUCUCAUCGCGAGAUGAGGCGCACCCAGAGCGUACACGCUGGGACCCGAAAGAUGGUGAACUAUGCCUGGUCAGGACGAAGUCAGGGGAAACCCUGAUGGAGGUCCGUAGCGAUUCUGACGUGCAAAUCGAUCGUCUGAACUGGGUAUAGGGGCGAAAGACUAAUCGAACCAUCUAGUAGCUGGUUCCCUCCGAAGUUUCCCUCAGGAUAGCUGGCGCUCGUCGUGAGCGAGUCUCAUCCGGUAAAGCGAAUGAUUAGAGGCAUUGGGGUCGAAACGGCCUCAACCUAUUCUCAAACUUUAAAUGGGUGAGAUCUCCGGCUUGCUUAAUGUGAAGCCGCGAGAUCGGUCAGAGUGCCAAGUGGGCCACUUUUGGUAAGCAGAACUGGCGCUGUGGGAUGAACCAAACGCCGAGUUAAAGCGCCUAAAUCGACGCUUAUGGGAUACCAUGAAAGGCGUUGGUAACUUAAAACAGCAGGACGGUGGCCAUGGAAGUCGGA
rnacentral:rRNA from 1 species